GACGAACGCUGGCGGCGUGCUUAACACAUGCAAGUCGAACGGAAAGGCCCUGCUUUUGUGGGGUGCUCGAGUGGCGAACGGGUGAGUAACACGUGAGUAACCUGCCCUUGACUUUGGGAUAACUUCAGGAAACUGGGGCUAAUACCGGAUAGCAGCUCCUGCUGCAUGGUGGGGGUUGGAAAGUUUCGGCGGUUGGGGAUGGACUCGCGGCUUAUCAGCUUGUUGGUGGGGGAGUGGCUUACCAAGGCUUUGACGGGUAGCCGGCCUGAGAGGGUGACCGGCCACAAUGGGACUGAGAGACGGCCCAGACUCCUACGGGAGGCAGCAGUGGGGAAUAUUGCACAAUGGGCGGAAGCCUGAUGCAGCAACGCCGCGUGCGGGAUGACGGCCUUCGGGGUGUAAACCGCUUUCGCCUGUGACGAAGCGUGAGUGACGGUAAUGGGUAAAGAAGCACCGGCUAACUACGUG
rnacentral:rRNA from 1 species